AGAAUACUUGAAGAACAUAUCUUAUCUUCAACUGGGAGCAAGUGUUAAUCUCCAUUAACAGAAGCAAAGUAAGCAGGAAAUCCCCCAAGAAAACAUCAUAUUUAAUCAUCAUUUCUCAUUAGAUUUAGUUUUAUUGUACCAUGUUCUCAAGAAUUCUUUGAUGACUUUCAUGGUUUUGAACAGAAGCAGUGUGAAAUUUUGUGCAGUGUUUGUCAUGAACAGGUCUCGAUUCUCAUGUGGAUAUUACAAGCCAGUAUAUACAUUCCAUUACACUAAACUCUGUUAUUUAGGAGCAAACAUUUCAUCUAUGACAGUUCACUUAAAAGCAAUAAACAUACUUCAAUUUGCC